CCUACGGGGGGCAGCAGUGGGGGAUAUUGCACAAUGGGGGAAACCCUGAUGCAGCGACGCCGCGUGUGGGAAGACGGUCCUCUGGAUUGUAAACCACUGUCCCCAGGGACGAAGAUGACGGUACCUGGGGAGGAAGCUCCGGCUAACUACGUGCCAGCAGCCGCGGUAAUACGUAGGGAGCGAGCGUUGUCCGGAAUUACUGGGUGAAAAGGGAGCGUAGGCGGGACUGCAAGUUGGGUGUCAAAUCUACCGGCUCAACCGGUAGCCGCACUCAAAACUGCAGUUCUUGAGUGAAGUAGAGGCAGGCGGAAUUCCUAGUGUAGCGGUGAAAUGCGUAGAUAUUAGGAGGAACACCAGUGGCGAAGGCGGCCUGCUGGGCUUUUACUGACGCUGAGGCUCGAAAGUGUGGGGAGCAAACAGGAUUAGAUACCAGGGUAGUC
rnacentral:rRNA from 1 species